rnacentral:rRNA from 1 species
UACGGAGGGUGCAAGCGUUAAUCGGAAUACUGGGCGUAAAGCGUGCGCAGGCGGUUUGUUAAGUCCGCUGUGAAAUCCCCGAGCUCAACUUGGGAAUUGCAGUGGAUACUGGCAAGCUGGAGUAUGGUAGAGGAAGGUGGAAUUCCCGGUGUAGCAGUGAAAUGCGUAGAGAUCGGGAGGAACACCAGUGGCGAAGGCGGCCUCUCGGACCAAUACGUGACGCUCAUGCACGAAAGCGUGGGGAGCAAACAGG